rnacentral:rRNA from 1 species
AUUCCAGCUCCAAUAGCGUAUAUUAAAGUUGUUGCAGUUAAAAAGCUCGUAGUUGAACUUCUGAUAGUUGAUUUGGCUGGCUUCGGUCGCCUUGUUGGCUGUCAUCCGCUUGGGAAUUUCGUUCGGUCUUCAUUGAUUGGCGGGGGGAUCAAGCAUUUUACUUUGAAAAAAUUAGAGUGUUCAAGGCAGGCUAUCGCCAUGAAUACACAAGCAUGGAAUAAUGGAAUAGGACUCUCAGUCAUUUUAUUGGUUAUUGACUGAAAGUAAUGAUUAAUAGGGACAGUUGGGGGCAUUCGUAUUUAAUUGUCAGAGGUGAAAUUCUUGGAUUUAUUAAAGACGAACUUAUGCGAAAGCAUUUGCCAAGGAUGUUUUCAUCG